UGUACACGCUGUGACUAGCAUAUCAAUAAGCGGAGGAAAAGAAACUAACAAGGAUUCCCCUAGUAACGGCGAGUGAAGCGGGAAGAGCUCAAAUUUGAAAUCUUAAAGGGUUUCCCUUUACGAAUUGUAGUUUAAAGAAGUGUUUUCUGUUGAGGUUUGGGUAAAAGUUCUUUGGAAUAGGACAUCAUAGAGGGUGAGAAUCCCGUAUUUGACCUUUACUUUCAACUUUGUGAUACACUUUCAAAGAGUCGGAUUGUUUGGGAAUGCAGUCCAAAAUGGGUGGUAAAUUUCAUCUAAAGCUAAAUAUUGGCGAGAGACCGAUAGCGAACAAGUACCGUGAGGGAAAGAUGAAAAGAACUUUGAAAAGAGAGUUAAACAGUACGUGAAAUUGUCAAAAGGGAAGCGUUUGACACCAGUGUUGUUUUUCUGAAAAUCAAUUAAAGAACUGUUUAUGCUAAGCUGUUUAGACUUUAUCAGCUAAUCUGUUUAGUUUUGAGCUUUUCUUUAAUGCACUUUUCAGUUAACAAGUCAACAUCAAUUUCUUUUGCUGUAAAAAAGCUUGAGGAAGGUGGCUUGAGAUUCGUCUUAAGUGUUUAUAGCCUCUUGCCUAUGCAGUCGGAGAGAUUGAGGUCUGCAGCGUAGAUCCUUCGGGGCUAAAUGCAUUUGUGCUAAGUUAUAGCAUUUUGUAGACAACUUGUUGACUAUGAUUUGUCUUGUAGCUUACUCGCUUAUGUUAUUUUACCUACGCUUAGGAUGUUGAAGUCAUCGUAUCGCGC
rnacentral:rRNA from 1 species